rnacentral:misc_RNA from 1 species
AGCAGCCGCGGUAAUUCCAGCUCCAAUAGCGUAUAUUAAAGUUGUUGCAGUUAAAAAGCUCGUAGUUGAAUUUCGGGAUCAGUACGCCGGUCGUGCCUUCGGUAUGCACUGGUGUCACUGGUUUCUCCCUUCUGAAGAACCAUCAUGCCAUUAAGUUGGUGUGGCGGGGAAUCAGGACUGUUACUUUGGAAAAAUUAGAGUGUUUAAAGCAGGCUCGCGCUUGAAUACAUUAGCAUGGAAUAAUGAAAUAGGACGUUUGACCCUAUUUUGUUGGUUUCUAGGAUCGACGUAAUGAUUAAUAGGGAUAGUUGGGGGCAUUAGUAUUCAAUUGUCAGAGGUGAAAUUCUUGGAUUUAUUGAAGACUAACUACUGCGAAAGCAUUUGCCAAGGAUGUUUUCAUUAAUCAAGAACGAAAGUUAGGGGAUCGAAGACGAUCAGAUACCGUCGUAGUCUUAACCAUAAACUAUGCCGACUAGGGAUCGGAUGAUGUUAAUUUUAAUGUAC